UGGGUCGCGCAUGCAUGGGGCUAACAUGUAAGUCGUCUUUGAUAUGCAUGUGUAGGGCUGCGCAAAUGUCGUGCAUUCCCAGCGCGUAAGCCAGCGUGCACUGGGCGUGCAAGGCGGCUUGCCCAUGAACGAACGUGAGUUGGGCGUACGGGCUGUGCCUUAUGCACUUGUUCAUGUGCUGAGGUGUGGGGGGCCAUUGU
rnacentral:lncRNA from 1 species